rnacentral:rRNA from 1 species
CCUACGGGCGGCAGCAGUGAGGAAUAUUGGUCAAUGGACGCAAGUCUGAACCAGCCAUGUCGCGUGCAGGAAGACGGCCCUAUGAGUUGUAAACUGCUUUUGUACGAGGGCAAACGCCGAUACGCGUAUCUCCCUGAAAGUAUCGCACGAAUAAGGAUCGGCUAAACCCGUGCCAGCAGCCGCGGUAAUACGGAGGAUUCAAGCGUUUUCCGGAUUUAUUGGGUUUAAAGGGUGCGUAGGCGGUCGGAUAAGUUAGGGGUUAAAUCCCGAGGCUCAACUUCGGAACUGCCACUGAUACUGUUGGGCUAGAGAGUAGGAGCGGUAGGCGGAAUGUAUGGUGUAGCGGUGAAAUGCUUAGAGAUCAUACAGAACACCGAUUGCGAAGGCAGCUUGCCAGGCUACGUCUGACGUUGAGGCACGAAAGCGUGGGGAGCGAACAGGAUUAGAUACCCGAGUAGUC